rnacentral:rRNA from 1 species
AACGAACGCUGGCGGCAGGCCUAACACAUGCAAGUCGAGCGAGAUCUUCGGGUCUAGCGGCGGACGGGUGAGUAACGCGUGGGAAUAUGCCCUUCUCUGCGGAAUAGCCUCGGGAAACUGAGCGUAAUACCGCAUACGCCCUUUGGGGGAAAGAUUUAUCGGAGAAGGAUUAGCCCGCGUUGGAUUAGGUAGUUGGUGGGGUAACGGCCUACCAAGCCGACGAUCCAUAGCUGGUUUGAGAGGAUGAUCAGCCACACUGGGACUGAGACACGGCCCAGACUCCUACGGGAGGCAGCAGUGGGGAAUCGUAGACAAUGGGGGCAACCCUGAUCGAGCCAUGCCGCGUGAGUGAUGAAGGCCUUAGGGUUGUAAAGCGCUUUCAGCUGGGAAGAUAAUGACGGUACCAGCAGAAGAAGCCCCGGCUAACUCCGUG